GUCGGGAAUUUUGGGCAAUGGGCGAAAGCCUGACCCAGCAACGCCGCGUGAAGGAUGAAGUAUUUCGGUAUGUAAACUUCGAAAGAAUAGGAAGAAUAAAUGACGGUACUAUUUAUAAGGUCCGGCUAACUACGUGCCAGCAGCCGCGGUAAUACGUAGGGACCAAGCGUUGUUCGGAUUUACUGGGCGUAAAGGGCGCGUAGGCGGCAAUUCAAGUCAGCUGUGAAAUCUCUGGGCUUAACCCAGAACGGCCAGCUGAUACUGCUUUGCUAGAGUGCAGAAGGGGCAAUCGGAAUUCUUGGUGUAGCGGUGAAAUGCGUAGAUAUCAAGAGGAACACCUGAGGUGAAGACGGGUUGCUGGGCUGACACUGACGCUGAUGCGCGAAAGCCAGGGGAGCAAACGGGAUUAGAAACCCCAGUAGUCC
rnacentral:rRNA from 1 species